UACAGUAAGAGAGGAAGUGGCGAUUUGAGUUAGAAGGAGACAAAUCGAGAUUUUGGAAAGUUAGGGUUUCAAAAAUUCUUGUGAUUUCAGAUUGAAAGAGAGAAAGAAAAUGGGGAGGGGAUCGGAGGAGUAGAUCUGAUCCGGUGUCGGAUUAUUGCGAAUGGGGUUUUCGAUAAGAAAUUCUCCUCCAUCUUCUUCUUCUUCUGCUAGUUCGUAUCAUCUGCUCUGAUCUUAAACGCGUUCCGCUGACGGAUUCCACACAGCCAAGGUAGUUCAUAGAUCUGCUGGUGAUCAUGAACUUUCAAAUCAAACCACCCUGCAACCACCACCACCACCACCACCACCGCCACAAUCUACUCUCUCUUCUUUACAAUAAAGCUAUUAGGGUUUGAAGACUUGUUAUAAAUCUGUCUUCGUCAGUCAUGGCGAGGUAACUCGGGAGGGUAUUUUGGGCUACCGUUUCUUCGGGAUGGUCUUUUAGGCUACCGUUUUGCAGUCGUGCAGGAGAUGGAUUUAUUUCCUUGUCUCACUCUACUAGUCUGAGCGUCAAACUUUUGGCCUACUUUGAGUUUUUCUAUUGUGAAUGUAUUGUUUAGUGUCAGAUGUGUAUUACACUCUUUCAUUGUCUCAUUGAACAGGUAUCAGGUCCAGUCGUAGUUGCUGAUGGAGUGGCAGGGGCUGCUAUGUUUGAACUCCUACGUGUUGGUCAUGGCAGUCUUGUUGGGGAAAUUAUUCAAUUGGAAGGAUAUUCUGCCACCACUCAAGGCAUACAUAAAGACGAUAUCAACAACCAGCGCAAGAAUGUAAUUCUUUCUAUUGCAAACACUCAAGACUCCUCUUAGCCUACCUGUUAAAGCUAAUCCAAAGAAGAUAGAUGAGAAAGCUGUUACUGAGGUUUUCUUAAAAGUACUUGAUAAUUACAUCAGAUGGUGCAAAUAUUUGCACAUACUCCCUUUUUGGAACAGUUUAGAAGCGGAAAAUAAGGGCAUGAAACUCUUUUUUGGUAUCUUUAUACUUGUGUUUGGGGGGAGGCUGCAAAUGUCCGUUUUCUUCCAGAAUGCUAAUGAUAUAUAUUUCACCAUAUGUCAAAGGAGCUGAAUGUGAUGUUGGACCAUGGUGCGGUGAGGCGCAACCAGCUGUUAGCUGUACUGGUGAUAAUGGUUCUGUGUCUUACCUUGAACUAGUCAUUGCUCCCAAUUAUGAGACAAUGGUUAAGGUUAGUGCGUUAUUUUUCUUAUAUGGUUUCAGACUGAAAGAGAGAUAGAAAAUGGGGAGGGGAGGAGUAUAUCUGAUCUGGUGUCGGAUUAUUGCAAAGGGGUUUCCGAUAAGAAAAUCUACUCCAUCUUCUUCUUCUUCUUCUCGAUCUGAAAUCAAGAGCGAGAUGAUCGCUACAUAUUCAGAGUAGUUCGUAUCAUCUGCUCUGAUCUUAGAUGGUAAACAGUGGAACGUGUUUCUCUGAUGGAUUCCACAUAGCGAAGGUGGUUCAUAAAUCAUCAAAAUGGAGGGAAGCGGGAGUUUUUCUUUGAGGGUUUGUUUGUUGCCCCUCUCCUGAUAUCUUUAUGAUUUACCAAGAGGUGUAAAAUCAGAGCUGAUGAUUAUGAACUUGACAAAUCAAACAACCCUUCAACCCACCACCACAAUCCUCUCUCUCUCUCUCUCUCUCUCUCUCUCUCGCUCUCAGUCUAUCUCUUCUUCACAAUGAGGCAGUGAUUAUUUCAUGUAAAGCUACUAGAGUUUGGAGACUUGUAUAAAUCUGUCUUCAUCAGUCUUGGCAAGGUAACUCGGGAUGGUCUUUUAGGCUACCGUUUUUUCGGGAUGGUCUUUUAAGACUACCGUUUCUGCAGCCAUGCAGGAGAUAGAUUUAUUUCCUUGUCUCACACUACUAGUCUGAGCCUCCUGUCUCCCUCCUAUUUUUUUUUUCUGGAAAAAUAAAAACUGUAAGGGUAAAAUUUUCUUGGACUCAAACUUCUGGCCAACUUUAAAGAGUUUUUCUAUGUCUGAAUAUAUUGGACAGAUGUGUAUUUUCACUCUUUCCUUGUCUCAUUGAACAGGUAUCGGGUCUAGUCGUUGUUGCUGAUGGAGUGGCAGGGACUGCUAUGUAUGAACUCGUGUUGGUCACUAUAGUCUUAUUGGGGAAAUCUUUCUAAUAGAAGGAGAUUCUGCUACCACUCAAGGGCUCGGCUGCUGGCAUAAUUUUUAACUAAGAUGUGCUUGAGUUCUGAAGAUUCCACGCCUGCCUUACUUGAGUUUUAGACUCGAGUUUCUUUUGGUAUGCAGAUGGAAAAAGAGGUGAAUGCGAUGUUGACCCUGGCGAGGCGCAGCCAGCUCUUAGCUGUACUGGUGAUAUGGUUCUGUGUCUUACCUUUAACAAGUCAUUUCUCUCAUUUAUGAGACAAUGGUUAAGGAAUCACAAUUGCGGAAUACUCCCGAGAUAUGGGUUACAAUGUUUGUAUGAUGGCUGAUUUUACAUCUCCGACGGGCAGAGCCUUUGCGUGAAAUUUCAGGCUGAGAUGCCUGCUGAUAGUGGUUAUCCUGCAUAUUUGGUAAAGUGAAAUGUCUUGGUGGCCUGGACUGUACCUGUAGUUACCAUCGUUAGUGCAGCUUUCCCUUCUGGAGGAGAUUUCUCUGAUCUUGUUACUUCUGCAACUCUCAGUAUUGUCGAAGCUGAGAUUGGUUAUCCUGCAUAUAUUGCGGCACGUUUAGCUUCCUUUUACAAGCGUGCUGGUAAACUAAAAUGAUAAAUCAAGCAGUAGAUGUCGUUUGGAGUACCCAUGCUGUUUUGUUUCUCACGAAUCCUUGUAUCCAGCUUCCUACGAAGAGUGGUGGAAUUUCAAAUGGUGAUUUGAAGAGAGAAUAUUUAUGAAGAUAUUGGGAAUCCAACAGAUUCUUGGACAGAGCUGUGUUAUUUAUUCUUCAAUAAAAAAGGCUUUUGUAUUAACUGAUAUCCAUAGCCCCUUUUAUCCAUCUUUUUCAAAUUGGCGGGCUUGAUACCAAGAAAGAUGCUUCCUUAGCAAUAUCAAAUGCUGCAUCUGGUGGUACCUGUUAAGAAAUCAAGUCAGCAUUGAAGGAAAUUCCUCAAACGAACGUAUGAUAUUGUUUGAUGAGUUGUUUGUAUGAGAGUGUUUAUUUUCUUAUGCAAAUUUCUUUUAAUGCAACGGGAAUUUGUUGAGUAGUUGGGAUUUAGUGUUUAUAUUAAGGCUAGGUGCUGGCAUGUUUUGUCGGGAUUUAAAAUUAGUUUGGUAAUAUUCUGAAGAAUGCAUUUAGCAGUAAUUUAUGAUGUCCCUGAUAGUUAUUAAAAAUUUGUAAUAUGCGUAGGUAUAAGUUAGGUCAAUAUUAAUGACAGUUUAUCUUACGAAAGCUACACCGUAAAAAAAACUAUAAUAAAUAAUGGAUACUCCAUCAUUUAAUACUUUUUGCCAUGCUAAUCUGACUAGACGGAGUAACAUCUUGAAUAGACCGAAAUAUUUUUGAAGCUGUUGCAUGCCGUUCAUGAUUUUUGUUGAUCUCAAGGGCCUUUUUGAAGUGUAUUAUUGAUUCCAUACUUCCAGUUUGUCUUCAAGAUUUUUCGUUUUAAUUUUUAUAAUCUAAU